AUCUGAUGGCUGAUGAAGAGUCCUAAUACUCGUGGACUAUGAGUCCUACGUGUCUGAGACUCUAUGAUCGAGAAUCAGGAUUCUCUGAUCAUGAGUCCCACACAUUUUGGGUACCGGGGUCAAGAGUCCCACUGGUUUGGGACUCUUCGAUCAGGGUUACAUAUCGAUGAAUUCUGAUGCCCGAUUACCCAUCGGAUUUAGACUCAAUAUUUAUGAGAGAUUUAAUUAGUGAUUUGAUCAUUAAUUAACUCAAUUUGAUUGAGUAAUUAUUUUUGGAUCAAGUCCAAUUGAAUUGGAUUCAGUUGGGUUUGACCCGAUUAGGUUAAGAGUUGACCUAAUCGUCGAGAUGGUUUGGUCCCUGAUUUGAUCAGGGGUUGGGUUUAAUCAAUUUCUGAUUUGAUUAAGAUUUUAUUGAGCAUAAUUAAGCCUAAUUAAGUGAGAUUUAAAUUAGUCUAAUUGGGCCUAACUUAUUUGGUUCAAUUAGGUUGGUUUAAAUAAUGAAACUACCUUGACCCAUUCUCCCUGUGCCACCUCACUUCUACUGCGCCCAUUUGAAUUCAUGAGAAGAAAGUUCUCAUGAAUUUUUCCUCACGCAAAGCCCUCC
rnacentral:lncRNA from 1 species